rnacentral:tRNA from 1 species
GCCGGAGUGGUGGAACUGGUAGACACAGUGGAUUCAAAAUCCACCGGGAGCGAUCCCAUGUCGGUUCGAGUCCGACCUUCGGUA